rnacentral:rRNA from 1 species
AACUAACGCUGGCGGCGUGCCUAACACAUGCAAGUCGAACGAGAAAGUUGGCUUCGGCCGAUGAGUAAAGUGGCGCACGGGUGAGUAACGCGUGGAUAAUCUGCCCUUUAGUUUGGAAUAACGUACCGAAAGGUGCGCUAAUACCGGAUAAUACUGAAUGACUACUGUCGUUUAGUCAAAGAAGGCUUCUGUUUACAUGCUUUUGCUGAAGGAUGAGUCCGCGUACCAUUAGCUAGUUGGUAGGGUAAUGGCCUACCAAGGCGACGAUGGUUAGCUGGUCUGAGAGGAUGAUCAGCCACACUGGAACUGAGACACGGUCCAGACUCCUACGGGAGGCAGCAGUGAGGAAUAUUGGUCAAUGGACGCAAGUCUGAACCAGCCAUGCCGCGUGCAGGAUGACGGCCCUAUGGGUUGUAAACUGCUUUUCCACGGAAGAACCCUCCGACGUGUCGGAGACUGACGGUACCGUGGGAAUAAGCAUCGGCUAACUCCGUG